UCAGCGGGUUACGAUUGACGGAGCGAAGCGACGUCAAAGCGUAUACAAAGUCGAGUCGGUUUAAGGAUACGUUCGUUGGGUAGGGGAGCGUUCUGUAAGCCUGUGAAGGUGGCCUGUGAGGGUUGCUGGAGGUAUCAGAAGUGCGAAUGCUGACAUAAGUAACGAUAAAGCGGGUGAAAAGCCCGCUCGCCGGAAGACCAAGGGUUCCUGUCCAACGUUAAUCGGGGCAGGGUGAGUCGACCCCUAAGGCGAGGCCGAAAGGCGUAGUCGAUGGGAAACGGGUUAAUAUUCCCGUACUUGGUGUUACUGCGAAGGGGGGACGGAGAAGGCUAUGUUGGCCGGGCGACGGUUGUCCCGGUUUAAGCGUGUAGGUGUGUGUUCCAGGUAAAUCCGGUUCACUUUAACACUGAGGCGUGACGACGAGGCACUACGGUGCUGAAGCAACAAAUGCCCUGCUUCCAGGAAAAGCCUCUAAGCAUCAGGUAACAUCAAAUCGUACCCCAAACCGACACAGGUGGUCAGGUAGAGAAUACCAAGGCGCUUGAGAGAACUCGGGUGAAGGAACUAGGCAAAAUGGUGCCGUAACUUCGGGAGAAGGCACGCUGACACGUAGGUGAAGUGAUUUACUCAUGGAGCUGAAGUCAGUCGAAGAUACCAGCUGGCUGCAACUGUUUAUUAAAAACACAGCACUGUGCAAACACGAAAGUGGACGUAUACGGUGUGACGCCUGCCCGGUGCCGGAAGGUUAAUUGAUGGGGUCAGCGCAAGCGAAGCUCCUGAUCGAAGCCCCGGUAAACGGCGGCCGUAACUAUAACGGUCCUAAGGUAGCGAAAUUCCUUGUCGGGUAAGUUCCGACCUGCACGAAUGGCGUAAUGAUGGCCAGGCUGUCUCCACCCGAGACUCAGUGAAAUUGAACUCGCUGUGAAGAUGCAGUGUACCCGCGGCAAGACGGAAAGACCCCGUGAACCUUUACUAUAGCUUGACACUGAACAUUGAGCCUUGAUGUGUAG
rnacentral:rRNA from 1 species